rnacentral:ribozyme from 1 species
UCCACCGACAACUCCUCAUACUCCAACUUCACAUGAAAAACAUUUUUCUAGUUUUUCAUCACGACUUCAGAAAGUUAGCAGUCGUUUGAGAAUAGCAACCUCAUUAGCCCCAAAAAAUCCAGCAAUCGUAAUGACAUCAGAUGGUUGGUUUGAUGCUCCAAGUGUAGUUG